UUAAAUCUGUGACUAUUUUUAUUUUCAAUCUAUGACAGUUACCGAGGUUCGUCAUAGAAAUUGAGCCCGAAUUUGAGUCUGGAUGGGCCAUUUGCAGAUCUAUGACGAAAAUUCACAAAUCGUCACAGACGGUGCACCGUUAAUGACAUUUUCUGAAUCCGUCACGAAGAAUCUGUCAUAGAUUAAUAGAUUUCUUGUAGUGUUUCCCUAUCUUUAUUUCCACCUCUGACUCUCUCCUUACCUUUCU
rnacentral:lncRNA from 1 species